rnacentral:rRNA from 1 species
CCUACGGGUGGCAGCAGUGAGGAAUAUUGGGCAAUGGACGAGAGUCUGAACCAGCCAAGUAGCGUGAAGGAUGACUGCCCUAUGGGUUGUAAACUUCUUUUAUAAAGGAAUAAAACGAGGCACGUGUGCCUGUUUGCAUGUACUUUAUGAAUAAGGAUCGGCUAACUCCGUGCCAGCAGCCGCGGUAAUACGGAGGAUCCGAGCGUUAUCCGGAUUUAUUGGGUUUAAAGGGAGCGUAGAUGGGUUGUUAAGUCAGUUGUGAAAGUUUGCGGCUCAACCGUAAAAUUGCAAUUGAUACUGGCAGUCUUGAGUACAGUUGAGGUAGGCGGAAUUCGUGGUGUAGCGGUGAAAUGCUUAGAUAUCACGAAGAACCCCGAUUGCGAAGGCAGCUUACUAAACUGUGACUGACAUUGAUGCUCGAAAGUGUGGGUAUCAAACAGGAUUAGAUACCCUAGUAGUC